GGGUGAUUAGCUCAGCUGGAGAGCACCUCCCUUACCCACAAAAGGAGGGUCGGCGGUUCGAUCGUCAUCACCCA
rnacentral:tRNA from 1 species